UAUGUGAUCGUCUCUCGCAUAUCAAUAAGCGGAGGAAAAGAAACUAACAAGGAUUCCCCUAGUAACGGCGAGUGAAGCGGGAAGAGCUCAAAUUUGAAAUCUGAAAGGGUUUCCCUUUACGAAUUGUAGUUUAAAGAAGUGUUUUUCUGUCGAGGUUUUGGUAAAAGUUCUUUGGAAUAGGACAUCAUAGAGGGUGAGAAUCCCGUAUUUGACCUUUACUUUCAACUUUGUGAUACACUUUCAAAGAGUCGGAUUGUUUGGGAAUGCAGUCCAAAAUGGGUGGUAAAUUUCAUCUAAAGCUAAAUAUUGGCGAGAGACCGAUAGCGAACAAGUACCGUGAGGGAAAGAUGAAAAGAACUUUGAAAAGAGAGUUAAACAGUACGUGAAAUUGUCAAAAGGGAAGCGUUUGACACCAGUGUUGUUUUUCUGAAAAUCAACUAAAGAACUGUUUAUGCUAAGCUGUUUAGACUUUAUCAGCUAUCUGUUUAGUUUUGAGCUUUUCUUUAAUGCACUUUUCAGUUAACAAGUCAACAUCAAUUUCUUUUGCUGUAAAAAAGCUUGAGGAAGGUGGCUUGAGAUUCGUCUUAAGUGUUUAUAGCCUCUUGCCUAUGCAGUCGGAGAGAUUGAGGUCUGCAGCGUAGAUCCUUCGGGGCUAAAUGCAUUUGUGCUAAGUUAUAGCAUUUUAUAGACAACUUGUUGACUAUGAUUUGUCUUGUAGGCUUACUCGCUUACUGUUAUUUUACCUACGCUUAGGAUGUUGAGUAGCGACAUACGCAC
rnacentral:rRNA from 1 species